AUUUUAAAAUAAUAUUAUAUAUAUAGUAUGAUCUCUUAACGCAUUAAAAAAAAGAUAUUCAGGCACAUUUUACACAUGUUUUAUAUGUAUAUAUUAUAAGUCUGAAUUAUGUAAAUGCUUUCUAAAGGUUUUUUCCCAGUUUACAUAUCUUAGAGAAGUUUUAUCUCUUUUUAAAUUCAAAUCAGAAAAGAAAAAAUAAAUAUCAAAAAGUCAGUAUAGAUGAGUUAUGAGUUGUUGGACUUUAAAAUCAACAUUGAAAAAUUACAUCAAUGAGAUAACAUUAGUUUUAUAAACAACUGGAUAAAAUUUGACCGAGCUAAAAAUGUUCACACAUAUAUUCUUUCUUCUUCAAAUUGCGAAGAGCCGAGUAGGCACAAGGAAAAAUAAUCAGAAAAAAAUAUUUCACUUAUAUAACAUUUCUUUUCCUUUACACAGAAAGUUUAUUACACUGCUACGGGCAAUGGGAGAACUCUAUUCAUAUAAGAUUCACAUCUAUGCAUUUUGAAUCGAACUGCUUUCAAUUGGUGAGGCUAAUUGACAAAGAAGAAUUUUGGCCAUCUUUACUAAAAUAUAGAUAUUGCUGUCAGAAAAGAAUAUAAACACUUCUUCCAUCAACAACAAAUAUUAACUUAUUUAUGUGAAUAUAUCUUUUACUUUAGAUCAUUUUAGUGGACGAAAAAAACACCAUAAUUUCUACAACAAAUUCUCUUAGAUUCACCUCAUCAUACCCACCAUUUUACCAUUUUAAUUACAUAAUUUUACAUGAGCUUCUUCACCCUCUCCGGUUAUUUUCUAUUUAUUUAUAACUACAAUAUAAAGUUAUAAAAUAUAUAUUAUAAAUUAAUAAUUUAUUUACCUUUAAAGUCUAACGAUUAAAAAUAGAACAUAAUCCAAUAUAGAUAUAUGAUUCUAUUAAUAAAUUAGCAGUUACAAAUUUAAAAUUUCUAAAAAUAUCAAAAUUCGUAUGUUAGUUAUCUUCUAAAUGACGUCUAUUUCUAAUUAUUUUUAAUUUAAUGUAGUUUUAUUAUUUUUAAUUUAGUAGUUUAGUGUUACAUCUGAACAUAUCUAAAUAUUCCAUUACACCAACAUUAAAAUAAGAUAAAAACUGAAUCUAUAAAGUUUGAUUAAUAACUAAAGCUAUGGAUGAAAUUAUCAUACUUAUUUUACAAAAAAUAUUUAGAAAUAAAAAAAAGCUUAAUUUUUAAAAUAAAUAAAUAAAUAUAUUUUUUUGACAACAAAAUAAUAAAUAAAUAAAUAUCUAAUAAUGAAAUAUUACUAUUCUAACAGUAUUGAUUUAAAGAGUUUUGGCUGUCUGCUUGGGAAUUGAGUUUUGACUUUAGCAGUAGAGCAUUCUUUGUCAGACUUUUCAAAGAACUAAUCUUUUAUAUUGCUUUGUGAAAGAUUUACAGAAGAUUGAUUAUGAAUUUAUUGAAAAUAUUAACAAAGAUAAAUCUUUUAAAGCGAGUAAGAUAAGAUGUAAUUAUGUGCAAAAUUAAAGUUAAUUGUUUCUCAAAUGAUAAUUACAUGACUUCAAGCAUGUAAAACAAUGGACAAACAAAUAGGAGAUAUUUUUAUUGGGAGAUCUUCAUAGAAGCACUAAGAAACACAAAACAACGAAUGUAAAACUGCAUAUUGUACAACAGAUUUCUCUAAAAAGAGGCAACAAAGAAAAUUAACAGCAACCCAAUGGGUUCUUCCAUCUUCAAUUUUCAAACACAGAACAUGUGGACAACACUAUCACGAAUCCUCAACUUUUAGGUGUUUGCAACACAUUCACAUUUCAGCUCCUAACUGAAAUGACCCGAUCACCAAAGUCCCUACCAUGCAUCUCUCUGAUGGACUCGUGGAUGGCCCUGGCAAUCUGCGAAGGUGAUAAACCAGAAUCCACGUGAACGACCAGUAUAUAUUUCGAGCGUGAUCUAUACAUAUUACACGACAAAAGCCAAUUCCCAAACUGAGCAGAAGAGCAGUAGUAAGAUUAACACGAAUGCAAAAUCUGAAAGUUCAUACGAAUUUAUUCUAAGGUAUACUGUAUAGCACUAACCCUGCCUUUUGUCAAGUAAAUUUUUACUCAAUUUCUACUUCAGAGAAUAACACAUUAAAGAUCCCCGAAACUUAGGCAGCUUCUAAGCAUUCAAUCCAAAGCAGAAGUAAAAGACAACACUAAAACUUUGCUCAGUCCUAAAUGUCAACGAACCUAGUAAAUUUUGCAGAGUUAAUAAUACUAUCAUAUUAUUGUCAGAAGUCAGAAAGUAAGCAAUUUUGGAGACAUGAGACUAAUUUGCAGAAUUUGUAUGAUGAGAUAAGACAAUACCAUGGGUUGAACGAUGGCCACAACCAAAACUUCAGGUUUGUAUCGCAUAACUUUAAUUUUCUCUUCUGGGCUCACUUCUUCCUCGGGUCACCAUGUUAGUUUUCCAGAUGUAUAAGAAAAUUUAUGUGGUCACAUAUCACUCUGCUCUAGCUCAUGCCGCUACUCAACUUCAAGUAUUUGUAACUCAAAGAACGGAAGCGGGAAAAUCCAACUGCAACACCAAAUCCCCCUGGUAUUCCAAAUUCAGGGGAUAUCUGAAGUAACACUUGGGGAUAAACUCUGUUAUAAAUCAGUCAAUGGACCCCAUUAGAAACUUUCUAAAUGACCAUAACUGCUCAGCACUAUACCCAAAACGUUCACAUUCAUGUUCAAAAACAUGACAUAAGGAAUUGAUCCCUGUAAAUGAGAGAAACGACAACUCAAGUAUGUUCUGGAAGUGAAGAUCAGUAAACUUCUUUUAUAUUUAGCUUCAUGCAUUUAUGUGCUAAUAAUGCAUAUAUCAAACUCUUGUUAAUUUAGACAUUAUGGCACACAAUAAAAGGAAAAAAAACUAUUACAGCAAGGCCAACUCUCAACCCAAGUCUCUACGAUCAAUGUUAAGUUAAUACACAAACACAAUGAUCCAGCAAGUGAGAUUUUUUUUGUAAAUUAUUAUUUUAGCAAAAUGAGCAAUACAACCAUUUUUAUUUUUACGUACUUGCGAUAUUCUCAACUUUCGGUGUCUAAUAAUGCAGCAUGUAGGUAUGAGGCAACGUAGUAUAUAUGAUCAACUUGAAAAUGAAUGUGUGUAUAAGAUGUACCUGUCUAAGAUGAGGGUACAUAUACAAAUUCACUCUCAUAUACAUAAUUCAUUCUCAACUUUCGAUAUUCUCAACUUUCGUACUUGCGAUAUUCUCAACUUUCGGUGUCUAAUAAUGCAGUUCGUAGUUAUGAGGCAACGUAGUAUAUAUGAUCAACUUGAAAAUGAAUGUGUGUAUAAGAUGUACCUGUCUAAGAUGAGGGUACAUAUACAAAUUCACUCUCAUAUACAUAAUUCAUUCUCUCAACGCAUAAAACAUUAUGAGAGUGUGAAUUAAUUAAUAAGUAUUGCAGAAGAUCAAGCCCCCCGUGUCAAGAAAAAUCUAUAGAAAAUUCAAAAACGGUUUCACUUUGGCAAGAUAGAAUAUUGUGUGCAAUAUAACACAAAGUGGAGAUGAGUGAUCAAACACAACCGAUGAAGCAAUGAUCAACUUAUUGAUUGAAGAAAACACAGUUUUGCAUAAGCUGGAUGAUUUAUAGAAAGAGUUCAAAAAGCCAACUUAAAUAUCCCAGUUGGAGCUCUAUAAAUUUAAAAUAGAUAGUGAACAAAUAUUCUCCAAGCUAACGUUAUAAACAGAAGUAGAGAUGGUUCCGCAAUGAUGAUCAAAUAAGUAUCACAUUAGCAACCGAGUACAAACAAUUUGGAAAACAUUAAAUGUUAUGAUUCUCAGUGAGGUUAUUAUGCUAAAGGGAUAAACGAUUACCUCCAAGACAUUUUGUGUUCGCUGUAGUGACUAAUUUACAUAUGCUGUAAAUUUCUUGCAGAACUCUGUUGCAGACUGGUCCCAAAGGUACAGCUUCAUAACAGCCCCCUGCAAAAGGCAAAAGUUUAUUAAUAACGGGUUAAGCGCAGUACGGAGAGGGCGUGAUUUUAAUAACAGGAAACACAUAAUCUUGUGAUUGCAGAUGACCCAUAACAUGCCGGGUUCUUGCUAUCUUCACUUCGUCGAGGAUGGGGUGGUCAAUUAGAGACUGUCCACUGACCAGCUUCGUGUAACAUCUACACCGUUGUUCAAAAAGAAUAUAAGUUAAAUAUGGCAGAAAAAAAACAGUAAUAUUUAAUCACCACUUGAAAUAAAAACACUUAUUCACAAUGUAGACAACAAAUCCCAUCGCGACUAUGCUACACUUUGAUGAUCAACAAAAGCAUAAAAUAUUCAUUCAUGGACAGGUCGCUCUUUGUAGAGUUACUUUAAAAGAAUGAUUAAAAAUAAUAUAAAGAGAAACCAAAACUCUAAAAGAGAAAGAAAUUGUUUGCCAGGUUGUUUUCAUUUGAGAUUUUAUGCAUUGAACUAUUUACAUUGAAGUAAGUAUCGAUGAAGUUUUGUCAAAAAAAAAAGUAUCGAUGAAGAUUUGGCACCAAUUUAUAUAUGAGGAGAAAGAGAAGGA